GAGUAAGAAUGAGAACCCAGGGCAUCUUUUGGUUUAAAUUGAUGGGGUUCGUUUAAUAUUGACCUAGCCAAUUUUCUUUUGGCAAAUUUUCUUCUUCUUUUUUUGGUUAAACUAAAUUUUUUAUUUAAUUAAAUAUAUCAAUAUGUACAAACGACUCAUUGGACUCAUGAGUCAGCUCACAUUAUUUUUUAUAACUAUUCUAAUUGUUCUUUAUCUACUUAACUUCUAUAACUACUGUCAAUAACAAUGGUAAUAUAAUUAACUCUUUAAAAUCUAUAUUGAGUAUUCAGGCUAUCCAAGUGCUGCUGCCAUUUGCCAUUCUUCUGACCAUAUAUGUGUAGCUGCAAUGUAAUCUCCUUAAUCAGUUGCAUGCUUUCUCGUCUCUGAUUAAAUGGCCCAAGACAUGUUCAAUAAUCAACUAAUAGUUGAGGAGAAAGAAUCACUUGCUCACUUGGAAAAUUGGAUGGGAACUUAAGAGCAAAUACUUAAGGCAGAAGUCCAGAUCUAUAUGGAUAUCAUAUGAGAUGCCAACACCAAGUAUUUUCAUGUACAACUGAAAGCAAGACAAGCCAGAAACAUAAUAUCUUCUAUUUGCAAUGAUCAAAGAGUACUACUCACAGAGCCAGAUUUGGUACAACAACUCUUGGAAUAUCAUAAACAGUUGCUGGGAGAUGUUGAGUCACUAAUGCCCUGUAUUGAUACUACUAUUGCUAGAGAUGGUCCAUGCCUUUCAUUGAUCCAGCAGCAGGAAUUGCUAAACCAGUUACUAGAGAAGAUAUUAUCCAAGCUGUUAAAGACCUCCCAAAUGAUAAAGCCCCGGGUGUAGAUGGAUUCACAAUUGAAUUCUUUAAAGCUCAUUGGGAGACAGUAGGUGAAGAUAUAUUUAAGUCAAUACUAUAAUUUUUUAACAAUGGUAAGUUGUUAAGGGAGGUGAACUAUACCACAUUCACCUUGGUUCCUAAAGUUUUUUGUCCAUCUUAUGCUAAAGAUUUCCGACCUAUAGCAUAUUGUAGUACUGUUUAUAAGAUUGUUGAAAAAGUGCUAACUAAAAAAAUUAAACACAUGGUUGAUUACCUGGUGGGUCCAUCUCAAUCUACAUUCAUUGAAGGUCGAAACAUUCUGGAAUGUGAUUGUAGCUCACGAGUUAGUGAAGAGUUAUGGGAAAAAAGGAGAAUCCCCUAGAUGCCUAUCAAAGGUAGAUAUCCGAAAAGUAUAUGAUUCUUUGAAUUGGGAAUUCCUGAGGCAAGUGCUAAUGAAAUUUGGAUUUCCUCAAAAACUGGUCAAUUUGAUCAUGAAUUGUAUUUCUACAGUCAGCUAUUCAUUGCUUCUAAAUGGUAGUCUAACUCCUAUAUUUCAUGCAAAUAGAGGGCUGAGACAAGGGGAACCUAUGUCCCUAUAUCUAUUUGUCAUAGUUAUAUAGUACCUAAAUAGAUCCUUGAAGCAACUAAGGAAUAACCCUGAUUUUAACUAUCACCUAGAUGUGCAAAACAGCAAAUAGUUCAUAUUUUCUUUGCGGAUGAUCUACUGAUAUGUUGCAGGGUAGACAACGUCUCUAUUCUACUCAUGAUGCAAGCAUUUGAGCAUUUUUCUAGUGUUUUUGGACUGAAGGAAAAUCUGGAGAAGAGUUCAUUUUAUGUUGCAUGAGUGACACAAGAGUUCAGAACUCAAAUAAUGCAAGAUAUGCAUUUCACUAUUGGGGAGAUGCCAUUCAAAUACUUGGGUAUUUCACUAUCUUCAAGGAAGCUUUAUAUUCAUCAGUGUCUACUCUUGGUCGAAACCACUAAGUUCCUAUCAUAUAGUCGAAGAGUUCAACUCAUCAAUGGUGUACUGUUCGAGAUACAUACAUAUUGGGCCAAAGUGUUCUUAUUGCCUAAGAAGAUCUUGAUUAUGGUGACAAAUGUAUGCAGUAAUUUCUUGUGGACAGGGAGUAAUGAAUACUCAAGAAGAGCCUUAAUAGCUUGGAGCACAAUAUGUCUUCCUAAAGCAACAAGAGGAUUAAAUAUAUUGGACUUCUUUACAUGGAAUAAAGCUGAAAUCUGUAAACUAUUGUGGCUAGUGGGUAAAAAGAAGGACAAACUGUGGAUCUAAUAGAUCCACAGUAUAUACAUAAAGGGCAGGGAGCUAAACAAUAUAUCAACCCCAAGCCAAUCAGCUGGUUAGUGAGGAAGAUAUUUGAUGCAAGGAAAUGGUUGACACAAUUUGGGAAUGUGAUGGACUGCCUUGAAUCAUUUGAAGAUAGAGGGAAAUUCAGUAUCAAAAAGGCUUAUCAAUCCUUUUUACCUACUUCUGCGAAAGUUCCAUGGAAGAGUCUGGCCCUAGGGAAAGGAAUUAUCCCUAGGCACCAGUUUAUUCUAUGGCUGAUAGUUCAUAAAAAAUAUCAAUAGUGGACCGACUACAGAAAUGAGGAAUUACAGUGAUGCAAGACUUUUGUAUGUAACACAAAUGCAGUAGAGAUAUUGGACCAUCUAUUGUUUUGUUGUGAUUAUUCCUAGUAGAGUCGCGAUAUUGUUGCGCUCCCUUUCUUCUCGCGGAGUCUGGGUUUCGACAUUCAUAAGGAACAACUCAUUUCCUUUCGGAAAUUUGAUAUUUCAAUUUGAAGAGUCGUUACCUAAUGGAUUUAGGGUGUGUUAGGGGUACCUAAAGCAAGUAACUCAUGAAAUGGAUUUGCAUUACCAGAGAUUGGGUAAGGGAUCGAAAUAAUCUUGAGAGGAAGGUGUUAAGCACCCCUUGCUGUAACAACUCGGCCGAUCGUUUUUAGAAUUUACAACCUGUUCCCCUAUUAAAUGCUUCCUUAUGUUUCAUUAAUCGUAAUCGGUGCGUUAGAAUUGAAUUGGAGAGAUUUUUUAUAAGUAAUGAGACACUUAGUCUCUUUUAAGAAAUAAGUUGGAAAAAGUCAACUGAGCAUUGACUUAAGAGUUAGAGACCUCGAAAUGAAAAUCUGAUGGUUCCAUUUGCUGCGUUAGGUAAUUUCGGGGAUUGGAGCGUGUUCAGAAGGUAUUUUGGAAGUCCGUAGCUCAUUUAGGCUAGAAAUGCCAAAAGUUAGAAUUUUGGCAAUAUUUGGUUGAUAGGUGGAAUUUUGAUCCGAGGGUCAAAAUAGAGUUCUGGAUGUCUCUGUAACUUUGUUAGGUUAUUUGGGAUAUAUGCACAAAAUUUCAAGUCAUUCUGAUAUGAUUUGGUCGGGUUUUUUAUGAAAUGGGAGUUUCGGAAGUUUUUGUUGAACUUAGGCUUAAAUCCGUUGAGGAUUGGUGAUUUCUGUGUUGUUGGAUGUGUUUUAUGAUUGGAAAAAAUUCAUAUGAUAUUUUAGGAUGGGUCUGCACUUUUGGUUGAGGUCCUGAGGGCCUGGAAAUGAUUUCGGAUGGCCAACGAGAACUUUUGAAGUUGCAUAUUUCAUAAUAGAAGAAAGUUGUAAAUAAGUGCGCACAAGACCUCCCUUUGGAUGAUCAUAUAUCCCGUUAUAUACGGAGUUGUGUGAAAAACCUAUCAAAUUAAAGCCCUUUGAGUCAAAAUUCCAACGCAAUAAACCGUUCAUCGUUUGAGGUGUAUACAGAAAGUUAUGGCUAUUUGACUGGGCAUGUAUCAGUAGCACAUGAUUAGCGUUGGUGCACUAAUUGGGUUAUCUUCGGCCUCACUAGCCCGGGCGCGCUAGUAACAUGCCUCUAAAUACACCUAAGGACGGGAAAUGACAUUAUUUGAGUCAUUUCUCAAGCCUAGGGCUUCCCCAACACCUCCAAUUCGACCAAGGCACCCAAUUGCACUCCUAAGGUAAGUUUUUAAGUGUGUUUUCAUAGUGAUUUCACUUCUCAAUCACUAGUCACAACAUAAUUUUGAUUGGAUUUCAUAGGAUUUAUUAAAAAUUUCAAGAACACCCCAAAGUUGACUUUCAAGAUUUGGUCUACAAGAGGUAAUCCUACACCUAUGACUUACACACAUAGGGUUAAUAUGGGAUUAUGAGUAUGAAUCAGGGAUUACAACUUAUGAUAUGUUGAUUGGAGGCCAUAAACAUUCAAUUUAAAUAUAUGAACAUGAUAGGGAUUUAAAGGUGUUAUUUGAUGGAAUUUAGUUUGUUGGGUAUGAAUGGAUGGUCAUACAUGUGUAGUUGGAAGUUAUAAAUUGGUUAGGAAUGAUGGCGAGAUGAAUGGUUAGUAAAUGGUGAUAGUUGUAGGAACCAAUACUAUAGUUAUGAGGUGUAAAUAUCUAUACCUACAAGGUGUUUGAUAAUAUGCCUAAAUGGCAUAAGUUAUGGAAUUUAUUACCAAUAUUGACCCUAUUGAAUGUUGUAUUGUAGAUUGAAGUUAUAUAACUGUAUUGGAUCAUUGUGGUAUCAUUAAAGGGCGAAUUUCAGAUAUGUAUGGCUAACACCCCGUCUUUUGUAAAUCGAGCUUCAUCGAUAUUUGUGUGAUUUUGGUCAUUUUUACAUAAUAUCGCGAAUUAGCUUAGAAUUUAAUUGUAGAAUAAAUUAGUUGAAUUAUUUGCAAUCUAAUUGAAUAGAAUUGAGGCAUUUGGAGUCGGAUACUCGUGGAAAGAGCGUGGUUUUGGGUUGAAUUGCACUUGUUUGAGGUAAAUGGCUUGUCUAACUUUGUAUGGGGGACCUCUCCCCUUAGGAUAUCUUGAAUGUUUCUUAAAUGCCUUGUGCGCGAGGUGACGAGCGUGUACUUGUGCUCAUUGUUGAAAAUUCACCUUACUUGACUUAUUUAAAUUGCGUUUCCUUCCUUAUUUAACUGUUAUAAAUGCAAUAUCACUUAUUUCUGCUUAGGGAAAGCAUGCUAGUUAGCUUACUUAUUUUAUUUGACUAAAUGACAAUAUAUGCUCUUUGUGAAGCAUGGUAGACUAUAAUUUCUAUUAGUUGUCAUUGAUUAGAAUUUCUUUUACAUUAAUUGAAUUAUUGUGGUGUGUUUACUAUUUGGGACUACGUGACGUCACCCCGGAAGCUUCCCUUGGUGUGUUAUGUUCUAUGACUGGAUGUGUGGGAUACUAAGAGAUCCCUGACACAUGAUUGAUUGUAAAAUGAGGAUACUUCCGGAUGCUCCCUUGGUGUGUUAUGUUCUAAGACUGGAUGUGUGGGAUACUAAGAGAUCCCUGGCACAUGAUUGAUUGUAAAAUGAGGAUACUAAGAGAUUCUCGGGAUACUUGGAUAUUCCUCGUGAUUAAAUGGAGAAUACUAGGAGAUCCUCGGGAUACCAGGAUAUCCCCGAUGAUAAAUAGCCUGUAGGGAUUGUUCUUUUAUUCAUAUAUUGUAUUUGUAAUCUGUUUCUGUCUUGCUUAUUAUUUUUGUAGACACUCGAUAUACACUGUACUCAUAGGGUCUAUUCAUUUCAUAUUUAUUUUUAUGUUUAUCUCAGUAGGUCUCGACCUUUAUCAUCACUACCCAACCGAGGUUAGGCUUGGCACUCACUGAGUACCGCUGUGGUGUACUCACGCCUAUUCUGCACAUGUUUUUCAUAUGCAUAUCCAGGUAAUUCUGAGCAGGCGUACCGCCAGUAGCUGUCAGAAAGCGUAUUGGGGAGUUGAGGUAUACAUCUGCUACGUCCGGAGAUCUGCAAAGUCCCCUUCUUAUCCUAUCCAUAGUUGUUAGAUGCUAUUUCAAUCCCUCUUUGUAUUAGACUAUUCUGGUGACUAGAGUAGUGUACGAUUUCUUAUAGCCUGUGUUGCCCGUGGGUUUCCGGGUCUUGGAGGUUGUUUCGGUGUUCUGUUAUCUUUUUCGUAAAGAUUGUUAAAUUCCAUAAUGUGUUAGGCUUACCUAGUCGUGAAGACUGGGUUCCGUCAUGACAUGUUAACAAUUGGUGAACUAGGGUCUUGACAAGUUGGAAUCAGAGCUCUAGGUUCACAGGAGUCACGAAAUAUAGGCCGAUUUAUUAGAGUCUCGCUGAUCGUUACGGAGAUGUAUGUACUUAUCUACGAGGGGCUAUGUAGCUAUUUAGGAAAAGAUUCCCACUUCAUUUGAAUUCCUUAUCGUGUGAUAUUUUGGACACCUAUUCUAAAUGUUUGUUUUUCAAUUCUCUCACAGAUGGUGAGGACACGCACGACCUAGGACAAUCAGGCACCCGCACCCCCUCCUGCAGCCGCUAGAGGUAGGGGUCGAGGACGCGUGCGUGGUACAGCAAGAGCAUUUGCGCGAGCUAUAGCCGAGCUGCCACCAGUGGAUCCAGCCAGGACUCAGGCACCUGACACGCCCACAUCUACCACGACUCCAGCUGUUCUGGAGGUAUUGGCAGAGUUUAUGAGCAUACACUAUGACAGGCAGGGUUGCUUCCCCUUCUUGCAGCCACGUACCAGGCCGGGGGAGGAGCCCAAACUCCCGUAGCCCGCACUUCAGAGCAAAGGCUGCAUAUGGGACAGGUUCCAGAUAUUAUUCCCGUCUAGCCUGCGAUACUGUAUCAGCCCGAGGAUGGGGCACCUGCUUCUGAGGAUUAGCAUCGUAGAUUGGAGAGGUUCAAGAAGUAUGACCCUCCCAUUUUAGCAGACUAUCCACGGAUGAUGCUUUGGGGUUUUUGGAGGAUUGUCACUGCAUUUUUAGUACCAUGGGUACUACUGCCUCGAGCGAGGUUUCUUUUACAGCUUUCCAACUUUGGGGAGCCGCCUAUGACUGGUGGUGCACCUUUGAGUUAGACAGUCCGGAUGAGGCCGCCUCCCUGACUUGGACUCAGGUUUCAGAUAUGUUUCAGAGGGAGUUUGUUCCCCAGAGCCUCCGAGAUGCAUGGCACGUGGAGUUUGAGCACUUGCGCCAUGGCCCUAUGAGUGUCUCUGAGUAUGCCAUCCAUUAUACUAGGUUGGCCAGGCAUGCACCUGCUUUGGUGGCUAAAUUUUAUGAGAGGGUUCGUAGGUUUAUCGAGGGUCUUAUUCCUUCCAUCAGGUCUAGCAUGGCGCGAGAGUUGGAGAUGGAUAUACCCUAUCAAUAGGUGGUGAGUUUAGCCAGGAGGAUAGAGGGUGUGCAUGCUAGAUAGCGAGAGGAGAGAGAGGCCAAAAGGUCUCUCGAGUCUGGACAUUUCUCUGGUACUCGUACUUUAGGAGCAAGACUUCAUGGUAGGGGCUAUAUGGGUCGCCCAGUUCACUCAGCUCUUUCUUUUUGUGCCAGGGCCCUAUGACUGUCUCUAAGUAUGUCAUCUAUUAUACUAGGUUGGCCAGACAUGCGCUGGCUUUGGUGGCUACUGUUCAUGAGAGGGUUCGCCUAUUUAUUGAGGGUCUUAUUCCUCCCAUCAGGUCUAGGCAUGGCUUGAGAUUUGGAUAUGUCUAUACCCUAUCAGGAGGUAGUGAGCAUAUCUAGGAGCAUAGAGGGUAUGCAGGCUCGAGAGUGAGAGGAGAGAGAGGCCAAAUAGUCUCGAGAGUCGGGUUAUUACUCUGGUACCCGUACAUCAAUAGCAAGACAUCAUGGUAGGGACUAUACAGGUUGCCCGAUUCACUCAGCUCUUCUUUCAUCCAGCAAUACUCCAGUUCCCCCUAUAUAUCAUGAGCCUUAUUACGCACCUUCGAUUUCUAGUGUGCCUCAUGCGCAGGGUACUUUCAGAGGUCAGUCUAGCAGGGGUGGGCCCAGUCAGUCACAUCCACCGAGCCCUCCCAGAGCUUGUUAUGAGUGCGGGGAUACUUGCCAUGUAGUGAGGGAUUUCCCUAGGCUUGGGAGGAGUGCACCUCCACAGCAUUCUCAGCCACAUCAUAGCAGUGGGAUUCUCAAGGCAUUGUUCCAGCUCCAGCUGCCACCCCACAUGCCUAGCCAGCUAGGGGCGGAGACCAGGGAAAUAGAGGUUGCCAUCGAGGGAGGGGUCGGGCCAGAUUUUAUGCUAUUCCUGAUCGUGUCGAGGUUGCCGCCUCCGAUUAUGUUGUCACAAGUAUUAUAUUGGUUAGUCAAAGAGAGGCAUCGGUUCUAUUCGAUCCAGGCUCUUCUUAUUCUUACGUGUCAUCUUAUUUUACUCCACAUUUGGGUACAACCCAAGAGACCUUGAGCCCAACUAUUUAUGUUUCUUCUCUCGUGGGAGAUUCCCUUGUUGUGAACCGUCUAUAUUGGUCAUGUUUGGUUACUAUUCAUAGUUCUGAGAUCAUGGAAGAUAUUUUAUUACUUGAUAUGGUCGAUUUCGAUAUUAUCUUGGGCAUGAAUUGGUUGUCACCCCAGUAUGCUAUGCUUGAUUGUCACGCUAAGACUGUGAUGCUGGCUAUGCCAGGUAUUCCGCGUAUUGAGUGGAGUGUUACUUUUGAUCACACUCCCUGCAGAGUUAUAUAUUUUCUUAAAGCUCAACGUAUGGUUAAGAAGGGUGUGCUGCGUAUUUGGCUUAUGUGAGAGAUGUUAGUGUUUAUACCCCUUCUGUCAAUUCAAUCCUAGUGGUACGGGAUUAUCCCGAUGUAUUUACAGCUGAUCUUCCGGGCAUGUUACCCGAGCGGGUCAUUGAUUUUGGAAUUGAUUUAUUGUCGGGCACUCAGCCCAUUUCUACUCCUCCGUAUCGUAUGGCUCCUCCUAAAUUAAAGGAGUUGAAGGAUCAGUAACAAGAAUUACUUGAUUGUGAAGAAAAAGGAUGGUUCUAUGCGUAUGUGUAUUAUUGCCAAUUGAAUAAGGCUACAGUAAAGAACAAAUAUCCCUUGCCUCGUGUUGAUGACCUAUUUGAUCAACUUCAGGUCGCACAGAUGUUUUCUAAUUGCACUUGGGAUACUAUCAAUUGAAGAUUCGGGAGCCAGACAUCCCGAAGACUGCUUUCAGGACUCGGUAUGGUCAUUACGAGUUCCUUGUUAUGUCAUUUGGACUGACGAAUGCCCCAACAGCCUUUAUGCAUCUGAUGCACAAUAUGUUCAGGCCAUAUCUUGAUUCGUUUGUGGUUGUUUUCAUAUAUGAUAUUCUGGUAUACUUCCGAAGUGGGGAAGAUCAUGAGCAGCACCUGAGGACAGUACUUCAAACCCUAAGAGAGAAGAAUUAUAUGAAAAAUUUUAAAAAUGCAAGUUUUGGUUGUAUUUUGUGGCUUUCUUGGGUCACGUGGUGUCGAGCGAGGGUAUUCGGGUGGAUCCGAAGAAGAUAGAGGGAGUACAAAGUUUUCCUAGACCCUCCUUAGCUACAGAGAUUCUCAAUUUCCUCGCUUGGCGGGUUAUUGCCGCUGAUCGUAUCCGGGAAUGGCAGUGUGAUGACCCCCAUUUUCUUGUCCUCAAUGACAGGGUUGAGAAUGGUGAUUCCAGGGAUAUGACUAUCCGUGAGGAUGGGGUAUUAAGGAUGCAGGGUCGGGUCUUUGUACCCGAUGUUGAUGAUAUUCGGGAGUUGAUAUUUGCAGAGGCUCAUAGUUCGCGGUAUUCCAUCCAUCCGGGUGCCGCGAAGAUGUAUCAGGAUUUGAGACAACACUAUUGGUAGAGGCAAAUGAAGAAAGACAUAGUAGUAUUCGUAGCUAAAUGCCUCACCUGUCAGCAGGUAAAGGCUAAGCACCAGAGACUGGGUGGGUUACUUCAGCAGAUUGAGAUUCCAGAGUGGAAGUGGGAAAAGAUCGCCAUGGAUUUUGUAGUUGGUAUCCGUAUGAUGACAAAGAAAUUCGAUUCUAUUUGGGUCAUUGUGGAUCGGCUAACCAAGUCCUCUCAUUUCAUACCGGUGUGUACUACUUACUCAGUGGAGCGUUUAGCGGGGAUUUGCUUUAGGGAGAUUGUCCGUCUACACAGAUAACCAGUUACUAUCAUCUCGGACAGGGGUCCUCAGUUUAUAUCACGUUUCUGGAGGGCUGUUCAACAGGAGUUGGGUACUCAGGUGAAGAUGAGUACAACAUUUCACCCACAAACGACGGACAGUCCGAGCGCACCAUUCAUAUUUUUGAGGAUAUGCUCCGUGCGUGCGUGAUUGAGUUUAGAGGGUCUUGGGAUCAGCUCUUGCCAUUGGCAGAAUUUGCUUAUAAUAAUAGUUAUAAAUCUAGCAUUCAGAUGGCCCCCUAUGAGGCUCUUUAUGGUAGGAGGUGCAGAUUUCCGGUGGGUUGGUUUGAGCCGGGUAAAACGAGACUAUUGGGUACAGAUUUAGUUCAGGAUACGUUGGAAAAGGUCAAGUUGAUUCAAGAUCGACUUUGUACAUCCCAGUCCAGAGAGAAGAGAUAUGCGGACCGCAAGGUUCGUGAUGUUUCCUUUAUGGUUGGUGAGCGGGUUCUGCAUCCUGUCUCGCCUAUGAAGGGUGUUAUGAGAUUUGGGAAGAAAGGGAAGUUGAGUCCGAGGUUUAUUGGACCUUUUGAGAUAUUGAACCGUGUUGGAGAAGAUUCUUAUGAGCUUGCCCCACCUCCCAGCUUGGCGGGAGUUCAUCUGGUAUCUCAUGUUUCGAUUCUCCGGAGAUAUUACGGGGACCCGUCGCACGUGUUGGAUUUCAGCUCAGUCAAAAUGGACAUGGAUCUGUCCUAUGUUGAGGAAACAGUGACAAUAUUGGACAGCCAUGUCCGAAAGCUCAGGUCAAAGGAAAUAGCUUAUGUAAUGGUUCAAUGGCAGGGUCAACCGGUCGAGGAGGUGAAUUGGGAGACCUAACGGGAUACGCGCAACCGAUAUCCUCAUCUUUUCAGAACUCCAGGUAUGUUCUUUAUGCUCGUUCGAGGAUGAACGAAUGUUUAUGUGUUGGAGAAUGUAACGACCUGGCUGGUCGUACGUCUUGUUCCCCUAUUAACUGCUUCCUUGUGUUUCAUUAACGGUAUUGGGUGCAUUAGAAUUGAAUUGGAGUGAUUUUUGAUAAGUAAUGCGACACUUAUUCUCUUUUAAGAAGGCUUAAGUUGGAAAACACCAACUAAGCGUUGACUUAUGAGUUAGAGACCUCGGAAUGGAAAUAUGAUGGUUCCAUUAGCUCCGUUAGGUGAUUUCGGGGUUGGGAGCGUGUUCGGAAGGUUUUUUGGAAGUCUGUUGAUCAUUUAGGCUAGAAAUGCCGAAAGCUAGAAUUUUGGCGAUUUUCGGUUGAUAGGUGACAUUUUGAUCAGAGGAUCGGAACGGAGUUCUGGAAGUUUUUGCAGCUUUGUUAGGUGAUUUGGAAAAUGGGCGUAAAAUUUCAAGUCAUUCGGACGUGUUUAGGUCGGUUUUUUGAUGAAAUGCGAGUUUCGGAAGUUUUGGUUGAACCUAGGCUUGCAUCCGUUGAGGAUUGGUUAUUUUUGUGUUGUUGGAUGCAUUUUAUGGUUGGAACAAGUUCAUAAAAUGUUUUAAGAUGGUUUUUCACUUUUUGUUAAGGUCUCGGGGGCCUCAAAAUGAUUUCGGAUGGGUAACGGGAACUUUUGAAGUUGGAAAUUUCAUAAUAGAAGAAAGUUGCAAAUGAGUGCGCACAAGACCUCACGUUGGAUGAUCAUAUAUAUCCCUUUAUUCAUGGAGUUGUGUGAGAUAAACCCUAUCAAAUAAAAGCCCUUUGAGUCUAAAUUCCAACGCAAUAAACCGUUCAUCAUUUAGAGGUGCAUACAGAAAGUUAUGACUAUUUUACUGGGCAUGUGUCGGUAGCACGGGAUUAGCGCGGGCGCGCUAGUAACAUGCCUCUAAAUACACCUAAGUACGGGAAAUGACAUUAUUUGAGUCAUUUCUCAAGCCUAGGGCUUCCCUAACACCCCCAAUUCGACCAAGGCACCCAAUUGCACUCCUAAUGUAAAUUUUUAAGUGUGUUUUCAUGGUGAUUUCACUUCUCAAUCACUAGUUACAACAUGAUUUAAUUUGAUUUCAUAGGAUUUCUUCAAAAUCUCAAGAACAUCCCAAAGUUAACUUUCAAGAUUUUGUCUACAAGAGGUAAUCCUACACCUUAGACUUACACAUAUGGGAUUAAUAUGGAAUUAUGAGUAUGAAUCAGGUAUUACAACUUAUGAUAUGUUGAUUGGAGGCCAUAUAUUUCCAACAAUAUACAUGAACACGGUAGGGAUUUCAAAGUGUUUAUUUGAUGGAAUUUUGUUGGUUGGGUAUGAAUGGAUGGCCAUACAUGCGUAGUUGGAAGUUAUAAAAUUGGUUAGGAAUGAUGGUGAGAUGAAUGGUUGGUAAAUGGUGAUAGUUGGAGGAACCAAUACCAUAGUUAUGAGGUGUAAAUAUCCAUAGCUACAAGGUGUUUGAUAAUAUGCCUAAAUGGCAUAAGUUAUGGAAUUUAUUACCAAUAUUGGCCCUAUUGAAUAUUGUAUUGUAGAUUGAAGUUACAUAACUAUAUUGGAUCAUUGUAGUAUCAUUAAAUGGCGAAUUUCAUAUAUGUAUGGCUAACACCCUGUCUUUUGGAAAUUGAGCUUCGUUGAUAUUCGUGUGAUUUUGUUCAUUUUUACAUAAUAUCACGUAUUAGCUUAGAAUUUAAUUGUAGAAUAAAUUAGUUGAAUUAUUAUUUACAAUAUGCAAUCAAAUUGAAUAGAAUUGGAGUCGGAUACUCGUGGCAAGAGCGUGGUUUUGGGUUGACUUGCACUUGUUUGAGGUAAAUGGCUUGUCUAACUUUGUAUGGGGGACCUCUCCCCUUAGGAUAUCUUGAAUGUUUCUUAAAUGCCUUGUGCGCGAGGUGACGAGCGUGUACUUGUGCUCAUUGUUGAAAAUUCACCUUACUUGACUUAUUUAAACUGCGUUUCCUUCCUUAUUUAACUGUUAUAAAUGCAGUGCUCAUUGUUGAAAAUUCACCUUUCUUGACUUAUUUAAACUGCGUUUCCUUCCUUAUUUAACUGUUAUAAAUGCAAUAUCACUUAUUUCUGCUUAGGGAAAGCAUGCUAGUUAGCUUACUUAUUUUAUUUGACUAAAUUACAAUAUCUGCUCUUUGUGAAGCAUGGUAGACUAUAAUUUCUAUUAGUUGUCAUUGAUUAGAAUUUCUUUUACAUUAAUUGAAUUAUUGUGGUGUGUUUACUAUUUGGGACUACGUGACGUCACCCCGGAAGCUUCCCUUGGUGUGUUAUGUUCUAUGACUGGAUGUGUGGGAUACUAAGAGAUCCCUGACACAUGAUUGAUUGUAAAAUGAGGAUACUAAGAGAUUCUCGGGAUACUUGGAUAUCCCUCGUGAUUAAAUGGAGAAUACUAGGAGAUCCUCGGGAUACCAGGAGAUCCCCGAUGAUAAAUAGCCUGUAGGGAUUGUUCUUUUAUUCAUAUAUUUUACUUGUAAUCUGUUUCCGUCUUACUUAUUAUUUUUCUAGACACUCGAUAUACACUGUACUCAUACGUUCUAUUCAUUUCAUAUUUAUUUUUAUGUUUAUCUCAAUAGGGCCUCGACCUUCCUCGUCACUACCCAACCGAGGUUAGGCUUGGCACUUACUAAGUAGCGUUGUGGUGUACUCAUACCUCUUCUGCGCAUGUUUUUCAUGUGCAGAUCUAGGUACUUCUGAGCAGGCGUACUGCAAGUAGCUGUCAGAAAGCAUAUUGGGGACUUGAGGUAUACAUCUGCUACGUCCGCAGAUCCGCAAAGUCUCCUUCUUAUCCCAUCCAUAAUUAUUAGAUGUUAUUUCGAUCCAUCUUUGUGUUAGAUUAUUCUGGUGACUAGAGCAUUGUAAGAUUUCUUAUAGCCAGUGUUUCCCGUGGGUUUCCGGGUCUUGGAGGUUGUUUCAGUAUUUUGUAUUAAAGUGUAUGUGCCAGGCGGCAAACCUAUACAUUUUCUUAUGUAUUUCGGUAUUCUGAUAUCGUUUUCGUAAAUAUUGUAAAAAUCCCGUAAUGUAUUAGGCUUACCUAGUUUUGAAGACUGGGUGCCGUCAUGACAUGUUUAAAAUUGGUGAACUAGGAUCGUGACACUCGCGGUCCAUAACGGUGGGUCCCAGCCGAACUCAAAUUAUGUGAAUUAGUUCUAUAAAUAGAUAAAGCUAUCUAAGCACACAUAUAAGAUAAAGGAAAUUUAGCAGAUAAGCAGUCUAAAGACACAUAUGAAAAUAAGAUGAGGGAAGUCCUAGGUUUGUUAGCCUAUAGGAUCACAUCUGUAUAAUACCCGAUAAUCCUUCCUGAACUAGAGAGGCUACAUGUGGUAUUAGCGCACAGGUCAUCAAUAUCCUUUUACUCCCCAAUUUCCCUCCCCUUAGUGUUUAUAUAAGCAGUUUUAAUUAGACAAACUCUAUGCGUGCAUUACCUGUCCCUUCCUUGUGGUCUGGUAGGUAUUUAGGACCUCUAAUUCAGGCAAUUCUAGACUCUCCUAAUGUACUUAAAUGAGAAAAAUCUAGGCGACAAUCAAAAUAAUUAGGACUAUCAAGUAAAGAACUAUUAAGGGGCUCAUGUUUACCUCCACAAAUAAACAAACAACAGCACGUCUCAAACAAUAAGAUUUCAGUCAUUUCCAAAGCUCCUAGAGUAGGAUAUCUAGGUGAGCAAAUAGAAUGUAUGAAGCAUCGUGUUAAACUGAGGUGAUAGAGACCUAAUCAGUUUGCCUACUGAUUUUAAAGCUUGUUGAAUCUGGGCCAUUCACAAACGACAAAAGCGUAGUUUUACAGUUUGCAGGAUUUUAGUCGCCUUACAGGCUUGCCUAGGCAUGUAACAGUGAUAUCCUAUAAGCACAGUAUCUAUUCAUUAAUUAAGUAGGCAGUUUGGAUCCUAUAUGCAUGUUGGUAUAUGUGCUGAAUAAUACAUUAUAGAACUGGUUUAUACACACUUAUCUCUAUGACAUAAGUAUUGGGAUUGUUUUUAAACAUUUUUAUAGACAAGAUAGAUAUUGAUUUUGGCAAUGUAGAUAUGGAUUAAGACGAAUACAAAUACAGUCCUUGUCACACCUCCUUUUUCACCUACACCCCCAAGGACGCAAAAGGGAGUUUUCCAUUUAAAUGACAAUCGGAACGGGAUUUAGUUAUUAAUUAUUCAAAGUUGGCACUUGGAAGAUUAAUGGUAUCCCAAGUCACCAGUUGAAUCCCGAACCGAGGAAAAAUAUGACUCUGUUAUAGUCAGCGAACCAAAAAUUUGAGUAAGGAAUUCUGUCAACCUGGGAGAAGGUGUUAGGCAUUCCCGGGUUCCGUGGUUCUAGCAUGGUCACUUAACUGUUGCAUUUGAUUUUAUCUGAUUUUAGUAUAUGCUAGCUUAUGUGCCUUUUAUUCGUAAAUCACUUUUUAUCAUUGUUUAUUUUAAACAAAUUUCGAUGUUGUGAAAACAUUUUUCGAACCACGUCGCAAUCAAUGCACCCGUGGUGGUCAACACAUUUCGACUUCGUCGAGAUUUGGAUUUGGGUCGCAUCAAUGCGCACCCGAGUUUAAGGAAGUAGUUUAAUUAAAUCGCGCCUAAAGAUUCUAACGUAAUAAUAUAAUAUUAUUUUGGGGGAAGGCCGUGAAGCUCGCUAAAUGGCUCUCCAAAUUUUAAUCAUUUUUAAUAACCAUUUAUUGAGGGCCCCACAUUUGUUUACUUUGUUCGGUGAGGCUCAUCUUAUUUUAUGAACCUUUUUUCGAUCAUUAUUUAUUUUAUAAGAAUUACGACGUCGUGAAAACGCGUUUUGAACCACGUCGCAAUCAAUGCACCCGUGAUUGUCAACACAUGUCAACUUUGUCGAGAUUUUGAUUUGGGUGGCAUCAAUCCACACCCGAGUUUAAGAAAGUAACUCUAUUAGAAUUGCAUCUAAAAGAGUCUAAUGCGUUAUUAUCUUUUGGGAGGGUCGUGAAAUUCGCUAAGCGACCCUUCCCUAAUUUUCUAAAUAUUUCAAGCCUUUAUUCAGGGCCCUUCGUUUUGUAUUUUUUUUUGGGAGAGCUCGUCUCAUUUAAUUUUAAAGAUCCACUCUAAAGUAAACUAUGAUUUUUCUAAAUUAUUUGUCUCUAGUAAAAAUCCUAAUUAAUCAAUAUUGUUUAAGAGUUACUUUAUUCGGGUCUAUGGACACAUAAAUUCAAAUCCUUAAUCACGACCCAUAUGAGGAGUCAAUACCCCAGUAACGCGAAAGGGGAAGCUAAACACCAUCAUAGGCUUAGAUCUACUCCACAUUUAAAAUAUUUUGAAACUCUUAACAGGCCAUCACCCACCCUAAAACCACUUAUCAAGCCCAAACUCACUUGAAAUCAACCAAACAUCACCUCUAGAACUUCAAAAUUAGCAGAAACUAAACUAGAGAGAUGUAGAUUAAUAGCUAAAGCUGAGAUCCAUCUAGCAUUUGAUGAAACAAUAACUUUUUUUUUGGGGUUUCUACUAUUUUUUGUUGUUUUUGGGUUUUUGUUUUUAAAACUAUGAACUAGAAGGAGAUUGUGAUAUGAGAUUUUAAAUUUUCAGAUUUGGAAACCCGAAGAAUAUUUUUUGGGGGAAUUUGAGGGCUCCAAAACUUCUUUUUCAAGGUAGAGGUGACUGCCUUAUAUUGGUCAACUAAUGGGCAGCCCUCAGGUUUUUAUUUUCAUUCCAGUCCUUACUUAGUUUUCAACUUACAUCCCUCAUUUCUAAUGAAAUACACCCUCACAACCUAGAAGCUUCUAGGAAAUUCUUAGCUAGAUUUGUUUUCCCAAAUUAUCCCAAUUGCCCUUAAUUUAUCCCAAAAUUACUAAAAUAGAACAGUUAUAUCUAAAAGAGUCCUAGGGUCUGAACUUUCAAUUAUGAAAUAUAAUCCUAUCUACUGGGGCCAAUUAAUAGAAACAAUCAUCAACUAAAUACAGACUUAACCAAAUAACAUUCAAACAUAAAUUUAAUUAACAGAAUUACAACUAAAAUUAAGAAUUAUGAUUCGAACAACCAAAUUGAAAUAAACCUAAUGAAUAACUAAUUACUCAACUAGACUAACAUGAAUAAAAAACACUUGAAAAUUCACUGACUCACAUUUUAAACGACUUAACAAACUAAAAAAAUCAGGACUCAAAUAAAACGACUAAGCAAGAAGACUAUCGAGCAAAACUAGUAAAGAAAUACAAAAUAAAAGAAAAGUAAAAACUUACCGAUAAAAGAAAACUCAGGCUAGUCGUCAUUAUUUCCAAACUCGGCCAUUGCUGGGGUCAUUUGAGCUCUAUUGAUGGCCAAGUCUUUACUAGGGAGGCCCAAGGACCCUAUGACGUCAAGUGCAUGCGUUUUGGGCGUUUUAGGGUUUUUGUCGAAAAACCAAAAAUUGACAUUUGAGCAUUUCUGGCCACAUUCGAGGGACGAGGCUAAGGGGGUUGGGUAGAGGGGUCUCAGGCGAACCUAGGGUGUUAAUUUGGGGUAGGUUUCAUCGUGCCCGUAAAAUUUUCAAUCGAUUAUUCGACGAGAUGGGGGAAUAUUCGAGGGAUGACAACACCGGGAACGGGAAGGGGAGGGCAAGGUGAAUCAAUGGUAUUAAUUUGGUUGUCAAUAACGUAGGUUUUAUUCACCGGCGGCGAGGAAUCUGGCGAGGUCUAAGAGAUACGAGGAAGAAGAACGGUUGUCUCUGAUUUUGUGAAGAGACUCCCACCAUUUUAUUAGGUGGACA
rnacentral:lncRNA from 1 species